rnacentral:miRNA from 1 species
CUUUUCACACACCUCACUAACA